rnacentral:rRNA from 1 species
UACAGAGGGUGCAAGCGUUGUUCGGAAUUAUUGGGCGUAAAGCGCGUGUAGGCGGCUUUGCAAGUCGGGUGUGAAAGCCCCGGGCUCAACCUGGGAAUUGCAUUCGAGACUGAAUAGCUAGGGUACGGUAGAGGGAAGCGGAAUUUCCGGUGUAGCGGUGAAAUGCGUAGAUAUGACAUAGAACACCAAUUGCGAAGGCAGCUUACUACAGGAAUAUUGACACUGAUGCACGAAAGCGUGGGGAUCAAACAGG